GGCUCAGGACGAACGCUGGCGGCGCGCUUAACACAUGCAAGUCGAGCGAGAACCAGGGCUUCGGCCCUGGGGACAGCGGCGAACGGGUGAGUAACACGUGGGUAAUCUGCCCUUGACAUCGGGAUAGCCCGGGGAAACCCGGAUUAAUACCGAGUAGCCUCCGGAGCCUUCGGGCGCCGGAGAAAAGGUAGCUUCGGCCUCUGGUCAAGGAUGAGCCCGCGGCGGAUUAGCUUGUUGGCGGGGUAACGGCCCACCAAGGCGACGAUCCGUAGCUGGUCUGAGAGGACGAUCAGCCACACUGGGACUGAGACACGGCCCAGACUCCUACGGGAGGCAGCAGUGGGGAAUCUUGCGCUAAUGCGGGAAACCGUGACGCAGCGACGCCGCGUGGGGGAAGAAGGCCUUCGGGUUGUAAACCUCUUUCAGGAGGGACGAAGCUACUCGGGUGAAUAGCCCAGAGGGUGACGGUACCUCCAGAAGAAGCCCCGGCUAACUACGUGCCAGCAGCCGCGGUAAUACGUAGGGGGCAAGCGUUGUCCGGAUUUAUUGGGCGUAAAGAGCGUGUAGGCGGCUUGGUAGGUCCGCUGUGAAAACUCGAGGCUCAACCUCGAGAUGUCGGCGGAAACCACUUGGCUAGAGUCCGGAAGAGGAGAGUGGAAUUCCCGGUGUAGCGGUGAAAUGCGCAGAUAUCGGGAAGAACACCUAUGGCGAAGGCAGCUCUCUGGGACGGUACUGACGCUGAGACGCGAAAGCGUGGGGAGCGAACAGGAUUAGAUACCCUGGUAGUCCACGCCGUAAACGAUGGGUGCUAGGUGUGGGCGGUGUCGACUCCGUCCGUGCCGAAGCUAACGCAUUAAGCACCCCGCCUGGGGAGUACGGCCGC
rnacentral:rRNA from 1 species